UUAACACAUGCAAGUCGAACGGUGAAGCCAAGCUUGCUUGGUGGAUCAGUGGCGAACGGGUGAGUAACACGUGAGCAACCUGCCCUGGACUCUGGGAUAAGCGCUGGAAACGGCGUCUAAUACUGGAUAUGAGCUCUCAUCGCAUGGUGGGGGUUGGAAAGAUUUUUCGGUCUGGGAUGGGCUCGCGGCCUAUCAGCUUGUUGGUGAGGUAAUGGCUCACCAAGGCGUCGACGGGUAGCCGGCCUGAGAGGGUGACCGGCCACACUGGGACUGAGACACGGCCCAGACUCCUACGGGAGGCAGCAGUGGGGAAUAUUGCACAAUGGGCGGAAGCCUGAUGCAGCAACGCCGCGUGAGGGAUGACGGCCUUCGGGUUGUAAACCUCUUUUAGCAGGGAAGAAGCGAGAGUGACGGUACCUGCAGAAAAAGCGCCGGCUAACUACGUGCCAGCAGCCGCGGUAAUACGUAGGGCGCAAGCGUUAUCCGGAAUUAUUGGGCGUAAAGAGCUCGUAGGCGGUUUGUCGCGUCUGCUGUGAAAUCCCGAGGCUCAACCUCGGGCCUGCAGUGGGUACGGGCAGACUAGAGUGCGGUAGGGGAGAUUGGAAUUCCUGGUGUAGCGGUGGAAUGCGCAGAUAUCAGGAGGAACACCGAUGGCGAAGGCAGAUCUCUGGGCCGUAACUGACGCUGAGGAGCGAAAGGGUGGGGAGCAAACAGGCUUAGAUACCCUGGUAGUCCACCCCGUAAACGUUGGGAACUAGUUG
rnacentral:rRNA from 1 species